AAAUAAGGAGUCGGAUGCUUAAUCAACUGAGCCACCCAGGUGCCCCAAGUUAUUUCCUUUUUGAUUUCAAGUGUUCUCAUGACCUCCAGAAGAAUGUGGCCAGGUGGCACUAGUUUAUCUUGUACACGCAUUGCAGUUGACUCUGAGCAGACCUCAAGCUCAGCUGGAAUUUAACAGCAUUGUUUUGUUUUCAUUGCGGUCAUUUUUUUAAUGAUUACUUUCUAUUUAUUACAAACAGUAUUGAUUUUCCUUAAUGGUAGUGCCUAAAGUUUCCCUUCAAAUGUUUGUUUUUGGGGCUAAAGCAAACCGAUUUAAAGAAAACAUGAAGUUAUUGAUGGAAGAAGAGGUAUACAGAUCAGGCAAAAUCUUGAUGGUGGAAGGUUUGUGUCUAAAGUUGAGGAGAGUGCUUCAGGGGCAUUUACUUGAACUCAUCAAACCUCCCUAACCCAGAUGUUUCUGUGGCACCACAUGUGGGUGUCCUGUCUACACUACCUGGCUGCCCGAUUAGCACAGAUGGCCUAGGAAGUAAUCCUUCCUCCUCAGAUUACUGAUGUAGAGAAGGGAAAGGACACCCACUGGUGGCUCCCUUAGCCUGACGUCAGAUGCCUGGGCCCCCUUCCCAGCUCCCCCCGGCCCAGCUGGUAGUUGGAAAUGCUCACUACCUCCUGGUUAGUAGCAAGGGUGGAACCCUCCACAAGAUCACACGCUUAUCUCCAAUGCUGUGCGGGUGAAAAGUUAACAGGCGCUCUCGGGGAAGGACUGGUUUGUGACACUUGCCGAUUUCAGCGGUCUAAGUUCUCCCACCUUAGCUGAUUUCAGUCACGGCUGUGUUUAACAACCGGCUGACAAAAUUCCUGAAUAUCGAACAGGUGUCCUGGGGCGCCAGCCCCAGCAGGCUUCGGCUCGCCACUGUAAGUUGCAGUGUCAGCAUUUGAUGUUGUAACUGGGUUAUUCCUCCGUGUCAGCCUUUUCCUCUAAAGGUGAAGCUCCAUGAGAGAAGAAACCACAUCUGUCUCGCUCACCACGGUAACUCACGUGCCCAGCGCAGUCCUGACACUUUGCAGCUGCCCCACGAAUACAUUGGCUAAUACUUACUGGCAGGCGAUCUGAGGUUAAAAGGCAUUCCCACAAAGGCCCCAGUCCCUUAAAUCUUGCAGCUUUCUCAAGCUUAGUGAAGUUUGAGGGCGUUUUGUUUUGUUUGUGUUCUUUCUCCUUGAGCAGCAGACCAGCUUGGCUCCACAAUGUCAAAGAGCAGAUGUGUCUUCCUGGGAGCCUGAGAAGAGCUGGAGCUGGAAGGAAGCAGAGCCGGGCUGACCAUGUCAGGUCCCCUGCUUCAAGGGCCCCUGCCUCCCGCAAGGUGCACCGCUGCGGCCCUCUGUAUUCAGAUUAAAGGGGACCACGCAAACCAUCUCUCCUGAACAUCUAGUCUUCGGCUGUGAUGUCCAUGUCCUGACAAAUCGUGGAUCCUGCCUACUGAGUUUCCUGAUACAGCAGUGUUAUGCUUUUCUGAAGAUGGGGAUUUUCAUCCAAACCCUCUUUUAGGACUGCCUUCACACCUUCACACCUGAAUGUAUUCUUCGUUCUUCUGGAAUGUUUAUAGGGCUGCUCUGGCUCUCGCCACUUGCGACUGGAUUUUGGUGCAACUUCUAGAAUCUGAGCCUGGACCAGAAGCUACAGAAUUCAGGGACUGAGCAGAGAGGAGAAAUAAGGAGAGAGUCUGGGAGUGAAAGUGUGUGCAACAGGCUGUAGAAGCUGUCUGCUCACAGUGAUGUCCGACAUAGAAUAUUUUCACGCCAGUGGAACUACUGUGAACAUCUCAGCCAAAAUGUAUUCCCCAUCAUUGACUGCUCCUGGUUAUAAAUCAUCCCUUGUGCCAGAGGACACGAAAUGACAGUGGGAUAGGAAGAAAGCAUACCUUUUGUUCUUGAUGGUCGUAAGAACCACGUCCUUCCUCUUAUUGUGAAUUGCAACAUGCAAAAAGGAGGCCUGCUGCUUGUUCAGGACGAUGGCAGCAUCGUAACUCAAAAGAAGUGCGACGGCUUUGGCAUGGCCUUCCCUUGCAGCAAAGUGCAGUGCAGUGUUCUUUCAGAGAGAACAGGACACAGAAAAUCCUGUGACAAUGGCUAGUCAUCCUUUGGCUAUCGUACUGCUUUCAUCUUUGAACUGCUUAAAAUAAAUUAUUGACAAACCCAACUAUUUAAUACCAAAAUAUGUAAAAUUUAAAACCAAUGCUCAGAGUCAAGCAUCGAAUAAGGAGUUUCUAGUUCACACACGGGGUGUGUGUGUGUGUGUGUGUGUGUGUGUGUGUGUGUGUGUGUGUGUAUGCGCACAAGCAAUUCCAAGUGGUUGGUUUUACUUUGUUUUUAUAUUGGGAUGAUUCCGCAAGGACAAAUGACAGACUUUCAGAGUAAAGAUGUUGGAGUGAACACAGAAUACUUCUAAGAGGUUUCUUGUCUUAGUAGAGCAAUGAUUUCCAGAUGUUGGCUUUUUGUAGUCUGGUGAAAUUUUUUAAAAAUCAGGAAUUGCUCUAAGGUUGCCAAUCUUUAAUUUGACACAUAAAGACAACUUAAAAAGCAAUAACAACCUUCUACCUCUAUCAUUUCAUGAAAGAAUGUGAAUUUUAAUACUCUCCAUAAAAAGAGGAAGUAUAGCAGAAUAAAGGAUAGUCUUUCAAAUCAAAUACACUUAGCUAUAUGAAAACAUACCCCGAACCUCUUCAUUUGUCUCAGUUCACCAGGGAGUACUGAAAAUUUUUUCAUCAAUCUACGUAGGCCUGUGGACUCUCUGCGAGACUCAAGAGGUGUCUCAACAUGCACCCACCUGUUAGCAUUCUCCUUAUUCUGUUCCCCUCUUACUCAUUCCUCACUUAGCGUCUGCAGAGUAAGAACCCAACAAAAGACUAUGAAUGCAGCAAGGAAGGAAAUAAAAUGGCUGGAAAGGACGCUUUCAUGC